AUGGGGAUAGCUAUUAGAAAUAGUAGAUAAUACCGAAUACGAGCACAGGGGUUAGAGAUCUGUGAGGAAAGGAGCUAAGGCUCCGCUGAAGGAAUGGCCUGCGGCCCAUUAGCUAGUGGUGAGGUAAGAGCCCACCAAGGCGAUGAUGGGUAUCCGGCCUUAGAGGGUGAACGGACACAUUGGGACUGGAGAUACGGCCCAGACUCCUACGGGAGGCAGCAGCUAAGAAUAUUCCGCAAUGGACGAAAGUCUGACGGAGCGACGCCGCGUGGAUGAAAAGAAGGCCGGAAGGUUGUAAAAUCCUUUUGAAACUGAAGAAUAAGCGUUGUAGGGAAUGACAGCGUGGUGACAGUAGGUUUUGAAUAAGCAACGGCUAAUUACGUGCCAGCAGCAGC
rnacentral:rRNA from 1 species